rnacentral:rRNA from 1 species
GAUGAACGCUGGCGGCAUGCUUAACACAUGCAAGUCGAACGAGGUAUUCUAAUCGAUUUUCUCUUUUUUCGCAAGUUAAAAGAGAUCUAAGAGAAGGGUGCUGACAGUGGCGGACGGGUGCGUAACGCGUAAGAAUCUACCCCUUGGAGAAGGAUAACAUUGGGAAACUAUUGCUAAUACUUCAUAUCGCUGAGGAGUGAAACAUAGGUAACUAUGGCCAGGGGAGGAGCUUGCGUCUGAUUAGCUAGUUGGUGGGGGUAACGGCCUCCCAAGGCCACGAUCAGUAGCUGGUCUGAGAGGAUGAUCAGCCACACUGGAACUGAGAAACGGUCCAGACUCCUACGGGAGGCAGCAGUGAGGAAUUUUCCGCAAUGGGCGAAAGCCUGACGGAGCAAUGCCGCGUGAAGGAUGAAGGUCCGUGGAUCGUAAACUUCUUUUACCAAAAAAGAAAAAAAUGACGGUAUUUGGUGAAUAAGCUCCGGCUAACCCUGUGCCAGCAGCCGCGGUAAUACAGGGGGAGCAAGCGUUAUCCGGAAUGAUUGGGCGUAAAGCGUCUGUAGGUCGCAUCUAAAGUCCACUGUUAAAUACCAGGGCUCAACCUUGGACAGGCAUUGGAGUACUUAUUUGCUAGAGUGUGGGAGAGGUAGGGGGAAUUCCUCAUGGAGCGGUGAAAUGCGUAGAGAUGAGGAGGAACACCGGUGGCGAAAGCGCCCUACUGGACCAAGACUGACACUGAGAGACGAAAGCUAGAGGAGUGACCAGGAUUAGAUACCCUGUUAAUUCUAGCUGUAAACGAUGGAAACUAAAUGCUGCGCAAAGCAGUGUUGUAGCUAACGCGUUAAGUUUCCCGCCUGGGGAGUAUGACCGCAAGGUUGAAACUCAAAGGAAUUGACGGGGGCCUGCACAAGCAGAGGAUUAUGUGGUUUAAUUCGAUGCAACGCGAAGAACCUUACCAGGGUUUGACAUACCAAUAAGUUCUCAGAAAUGAGGAUGUGCUUUAAAUCUGCGAAGAAAAAGAAUUUGGAUACAGGUGGUGCAUGGCUGUCGUCAGCUCGUGCCUUGAGGUGUAUGAUUAAGUUCCAUAACGAGCGCAACCCUUGUCUUUAGUUAUAUUCUCUAAAGAGACUGCCGGUGUAAGCCGGAGGAAGGAGAGGAUGACGUCAAGUCAGCAUGCCCCUUACACCCUGGGCGACACACGUAAUACAAUGGCCAAGACAAUGAGAUGCAAAUAUGCAAAUAUCAGCGAACCUCGAAACUUGGCCCCAGUUCCGAUUGCGGGCUGCAACUCGCCCGCAUGAAGCCGGAUUUGCUAGUAAUCGCCGGUCAGCCAUACGGCGGUGAAUACGUUCCCAGGCCUUGUACACACCGCCCGUCACACGUACAAAACAGAAUUGGGCCGAAGUAGGUAACCCAACCGUUUACGGAGGGAGCUUAUUACGCCACGUUUCGUAAUAUUCGUG